rnacentral:rRNA from 1 species
GACGAACGCUGGCGGCGUGCUUAACACAUGCAAGUAGAACGCUGAAGGAGGAGCUUGCUUCUCCGGAUGAGUUGCGAACGGGUGAGUAACGCGUAGGUAACCUGCCUGGUAGCGGGGGAUAACUAUUGGAAACGAUAGCUAAUACCGCAUAACAGUAGAUAUUGCAUGAUAUCUGCUUGAAAGGUGCAAUUGCAUCACUACCAGAUGGACCUGCGUUGUAUUAGCUAGUUGGUGAGGUAACGGCUCACCAAGGCAACGAUACAUAGCCGACCUGAGAGGGUGAUCGGCCACACUGGGACUGAGACACGGCCCAGACUCCUACGGGAGGCAGCAGUAGGGAAUCUUCGGCAAUGGACGGAAGUCUGACCGAGCAACGCCGCGUGAGUGAAGAAGGUUUUCGGAUCGUAAAGCUCUGUUGUAAGAGAAGAACGAGUGUGAGAGUGGAAAGUUCACACUGUGACGGUAUCUUACCAGAAAGGGACGGCUAACUACGUGCCAGCAGCCGCGGUAAUACGUAGGUCCCGAGCGUUGUCCGGAUUUAUUGGGCGUAAAGCGAGCGCAGGCGGUUAGAUAAGUCUGAAGUUAAAGGCUGUGGCUUAACCAUAGUACGCUUUGGAAACUGUUUAACUUGAGUGCAAGAGGGGAGAGUGGAAUUCCAUGUGUAGCGGUGAAAUGCGUAGAUAUAUGGAGGAACACCGGUGGCGAAAGCGGCUCUCUGGCUUGUAACUGACGCUGAGGCUCGAAAGCGUGGGGAGCAAACAGG